GCCUCGGUAGCGCAGUAGGCAGCGCGUCAGUCUCAUAAUCUCAAUAAUAGAGAAAUCUGAAGGUCGUGAGUUCGAUCCUCACCCGGGGCA
rnacentral:tRNA from 1 species